UGGGGAAUAUUNCNCAAUGGGCGAAANCCUGAUGCAGCGACGCCGCNUGAGGNAUGACGCCCUUCGGGUUGUAANCCUCUUUCAGUAGGGAAGAANCCCCUUUUUGGGGUGACGGUACUUGCAGAAGAAGCGCCGGCUAACUACGUGCCAGCAGCCGCGGUAAUACGUAGGGCGCAAGCGUUAUCCGGAAUUAUUGGGCGUAAAGAGCUCGUAGGCGGUUUGUCGCGUCUGCCGUGAAAGUCCGAGGCUCAACCUCGGAUCUGCGGUGGGUACGGGCAGACUAGAGUGAUGUAGGGGAGACUGGAAUUCCUGGUGUAGCGGUGAAAUGCGCAGAUAUCAGGAGGAACACCGAUGGCGAAGGCAGGUCUCUGGGCAUUUACUGACGCUGAGGAGCGAAAGCAUGGGGAGCGAACAGGAUUAGAUACCCUGGUAGUCCAUGCCGUAAACGUUGGGCACUAGGUGUGGGGGACAUUCCACGUUUUCCGCGCCGUAGCUAACGCAUUAAGUGCCCCGCCUGGGANACGCCGCAAGC
rnacentral:rRNA from 1 species